UGUCUUUACAUUUUUUGUUGGAAAGAGAUUAAACCUCUAAAAAAAAUGUUCUGUUAUCGAGCUGUUGUAGUCUUAAAUUUGAUCUCAAUGGCAACAUCUGCUGAUUUGGCAAGUUGCAUUCAGAAUUAUACUGACUCGGUCAGCCCUCAUUUUGAAAGUGGUAUUCAAGUAUUUGAAAACUCGAACUCCUAUUCAAGGAUUAGCAACACAAAGAGAAGUGUGCAGACGGUCAAAUUCUCCAGAC